rnacentral:rRNA from 1 species
UACGGAGGGGGCUAGCGUUGUUCGGAAUUACUGGGCGUAAAGCGCACGUAGGCGGCGCGACAAGUCAGAGGUGAAAGGCCUGGGCUCAACCUGGGAACUGCCUUUGAUACUGGCGUGCUUGAGUCCGGAAGAGGGUGGCGGAAUUCCCAGUGUAGAGGUGAAAUUCGUAGAUAUUGGGAAGAACACCGGUGGCGAAGGCGGUCACCUGGUCCGGUACUGACGCUGAGUGCGAAGC